GACGAACGCUGGCGGCGUGCUUAACACAUGCAAGUCGAACGGUAAGGCCCUUCGGGGUACACGAGUGGCGAACGGGUGAGUAACACGUGGGUGAUCUGCCCUGCACUUCGGGAUAAGCCUGGGAAACUGGGUCUAAUACCGGAUAGGACCCUGGGAUGCAUGUCCUGGGGUGGAAAGCUUUUGCGGGGUGGGAUGGGCCCGCGGCCUAUCAGCUUGUGGGUGGGGUGAUGGCCUACCAAGGCGACGACGGGUAGCCGGCCUGAGAGGGUGACCGGCCACACUGGGACUGAGAUACGGCCCAGACUCCUACGGGAGGCAGCAGUGGGGAAUAUUGCACAAUGGGCGCAAGCCUGAUGCAGCGACGCCGCGUGAGGGAUGACGGCCUUCGGGUUGUAAACCUCUUUCAGCACCGACGAAGCGCAAGUGACGGUAGGUGCAGAAGAAGGACCGGCAACUACGUGCCAGCAGCCGCAGUAA
rnacentral:rRNA from 1 species